rnacentral:rRNA from 1 species
CAAAAACAUGUCCUGUUGGGUGUUUAAAUCAGGUCUAACCUGCCCACUGAUAGUUAAUUGAAGGGCCGCAGUAAUUUGACUGUGCGAAGGUAGCAUAAUCAUUUGUCUAUUAAUUGUAGGCUUGUAUGAAUGGUUUGAUGAGAUAUUGGCUUUCUUUAUAUAAAAGGAUGAAUUUAAUUUUUAAGUUAAAAAGCUUAAAUAGUAUUGGAGGACGAGAAGACCCUAUAGAAUUUUAUUAUUUUAUUAUUUUAUCUUUUUUUUGGAUAUUUAAUGAUUAAAUUUAAGAUAAUAAAUAAUUGUGUUGGGGCGAUAUGGAAAUAUUAUGAACUUUCUUUAUUUAUUAUUUAUUGAUUUGUAUUUUAAGGAUCCUCUUUUUGGGAUUAUAAGAUUAAAUUACCUUAGGGAUAACAGCGUAAU